GGGAUUGCCUCAGUAACGGCGAGUGAAGCGGCAACAGCUCAAAUUUGAAAGCUGGCUUCGGCCCGCGUUGUAAUUUGUAGAGGAUGCUUCGGGUGCGGCUCUGGUUUAAGUUCCCUGGAACGGGACGUCAUAGAGGGUGAGAAUCCCGUAUAUGGCCGGCCGCCUGCGCCUAUGUGAAGCUCCUUCGACGAGUCGAGUUGUUUGGGAAUGCAGCUCUAAAUGGGUGGUGUACUUCAUCUAAAGCUAAAUAUUGGCCAAAGACCGAUAGCGCACAAGUAGAGUGAUCGAAAGAUGAAAAGCACUUUGGAAAGAGAGUUAAACAGUACGUGAAAUUGUUGAAAGGGAAGCGCUUGCAAUCAGACUUGCGCGGCGUCGAUCAGCCUGGGUUCUCCCUGGUGCACUCGGCGCCGCUCAGGCCAGCAUCAGUUUUGGCGGCUGGAUAAAGGCCUAGGGAACGUGAGUUGCUUCGGUGACUGUUAUAGCCCUAGGUGCCAUGCAGCCUGCUAGGACUGAGGACCGCGCUUCGGCUAGGAUGCUGGCGUAAUGGUUGUAAGCGACCCG
rnacentral:sRNA from 1 species